rnacentral:tRNA from 1 species
GCGCUCGUAGCUCAGAAGGAUAGAGCGGCAGAUUCCUAAUCUGCAGGCCACAGGUUCGAUUCCUGUCGAGCGCACCA